AGUGAACGCUGGCGGUAGGCCUAACACAUGCAAGUCGAACGGCAGCACAGUAAGAGCUUGCUCUUACGGGUGGCGAGUGGCGGACGGGUGAGGAAUACAUCGGACUCUACUUUUUCGUGGGGGAUAACGUAGGGAAACUUACGCUAAUACCGCAUACGACCUACGGGUGAAAGCAGGGGAUCUUCGGACCUUGCGCGAUUGCAUGAGCCGAUGUCGGAUUAGCAAGUUGGCGGGGUAAAGGCCCACCAAGGCGACGAUCCGUAGCUGGUCUGAGAGGAUGACCAGCCAAACUGGAACUGAGACACGGUCCAGACUCCUACGGGAGGCAGCAGUGGGGAAUAUUGGACAAUGGGCGCAAGCCUGAUCCAGCCAUACCGCGUGGGUGAAGAAGGUCUUCGGGUUGUAAAGCCCUUUUGUUGGGAAAGAAAAGCAGCAGGUUAAUACCCCGCUGUUCUGACGGUACCCAAAGAAUAAGCAACGGCUAACUUCGUG
rnacentral:rRNA from 1 species